rnacentral:lncRNA from 1 species
CUGGAAGGGCCCCAGAGCUCCCUGGCCCAGUUGGAGGCGGAUGCGCGACUCCCUCCUGCGGGAGGCGGGAUCAGCACUGGGGGAUCCCCAGGGCGCACAGCGAGGGCUGGCGGUGACAGUGCGGUCACCGGAACAUGGGAGGAUGGGGGGUCUCGCCUGGGGCGCUAGCCAGGAGCACGCGGGAACCAGGUGGGUGGCACGCACGCUGGGAGCAGAGACUGAGCAGGUGUCGCGAAAGAAGCCUCCAAUAGCGCGUGCAAAGGGACAGCGGGCAAGGAACCGGGUGGCCAGCGAGGAACUGAGGUGGCGGCUGAUGACAAAGGAACGCGUCUCACUCUCCGGGCACGACUGGCACCUCGGGGCCUCUCUACCUCUAGACCCUACUGAGGCUUUUCUUCGUGUCGCGUGGAGCGACAUUCCGCGCACUAAGGCGGGACUGCGGGGUCACUCCAAUGGUGGGACGCAGGCCCCGGAUUCCGCCCGGUCGAGAGUGCUGGAGGACACGCCCUGCGGGAGCGCAGGGCCCUCAUUUCUCCCGACUGCCCCGCUACCCUCGUGUCCCCAGGCCGAGGCCCCCCGCCCGCCCGACGGUGCCGGCUGGGAGGGGAGCCCAGCAGGACCCCGACGACCCGGCAGCUGGACAGGGGACCCCUCGCCGGACCCGCCCACCACCGAACAGCGGACGGCAUCUCGGCGUCACCACCACCUGCUGCACCACCCGCGCCCCACCGCCCCUUCCCCCUGGCUUCAGUCCGGCGGCCUUGGCCCCGCCCCGAGCCCCCAUUGGUCGGGAGCGGAGGGGGCGGGGCCCGACGGCGGCACGCGGGACCCACGGGCGGCGGAGGCGGGCGCGCGGAGCACACAGCAGCUCCAGCUGGAGAGGCGCCGUCGGAUCUGCGUCGUCCCGAGCGCAGACCGGAGCUCGCCCGCCGCCCCUGCGGCUGAGCGGGCCUCGGCAGCAGCCGACUGACGGCUCGGCCGCCACAGACAGAUUGGCCGCCAGCCCCCAGCUCCCGGAGGAGCCCCUGCCGCGUCCACGCCGCCCGAGCCCAGCAGGUGCUGGGAAACCGCAGGCGAGCGCGCCCCGUGCGGCCGACCCCGAGCCCCGCCCGCCGUUCGCCGUCCGCCGUCCGCCGUCGGGGCGGCCGCGGCCCCGGUCCCCGCCCGGCCGCGGAG